CUAUGCGCAUUUCGGAACGUACUUAAAGUAAAAUCUAUCGAAUUCUACACAAGCAGUUUUCCUCGUUGUGAAAACAUUCAAGAUGAGUCGUGUUAUGAAAAUUCUCAAAAGCAAAGAAACCCGUGACUAUUUUAUGAGCACUCACUUUUGGGGACCAGUUGCCAAUUGGGCGAUACCGAUCGCUGCUAUCGCCGAUAUUCAGAGAGAUCCCAAGUAUAUUAGUGGCAAAAUGACAUUUGAGACUGUAUUCAUGAGCUUUUGGGGCACAUGUCGCUUCUGGGUGAUUCCCCAGUUUUGCUCAAUUUGGACAAAAAAUUGGAAUGGCAUCUCUCGAUGCCUUAGAUGAAGAAAUCGAAAAGUUAUCAACCAUCUACUGGUUGAAUUUGGUUUUUGUAAGGAAGUUUCCGAAGUCAAGGCUUAUGGUGUUGGGUUGCUGUCGGCCUAUGGUGAACUUUUGCAUGCAUUGAGCGAUAAGUAUGAGCAUCGAGCUUUCGAUUCGGCAAUUACUGCUCUCCAAAAGUAUCAAGAUCAAAAGUAUCAGCCGAUAUAUUAGCUGAGAGUUUCGAUGAUGCUAAGGAGAAAUACCAACGUUGGAUAAGGAUAUCAUGUUCUGGCAGGUCACGGUAAAUCAUUUCGUCUGACUUGUUGGCCAUUACGCGAGUUAUUGAACGAGUGAACGACAACUUAGAAGAAGAGGAUACAGCGAGACAUCCAGGUGGAUAUGUUAUAUCAAAGGAUGGAGUCGGAGGUCCAUAUAUAUACAAUUAUAUCAAUGAAAAUUAUAGAUAAUAGAUUUUUACGCUAAUAGAAGAAUUUGCCGAUAUUCUAUAUCCACAUAUUUUAAAUAUGUAUUUGAAACAUAAUACUUGCGUGUACAUACACAGCUUCCGUAAGAAUCGAUUAAUAAUUGUGUACUACGCAAUGCUUUAAUUAAUGCGUAUAUUGAAUUCAUGCAAAAUAUUUUACGUAAUAUGUUAGUCAUGAUAUUUACCAAAAAGCAUUCAGCAUCAAAGAUGUAAUUCUAAGUGGCAUUAUUUUCGUUUUACUGGAACUGCACGAUGCAAAUAAGAAUUUUGGCAGUCCAAAAUGUGCAUGCAAAAUAUAAAUACAAAUAAUUGUUUCUCUUGAUAGUAUUAUAUCCUAUUAGAUUGCAAUGUAAAAAUGUAUGUAUGCAUAUAAUAAGACAAAGGAGGCACAUAAAGAAAUGUUUAUAAGUAAAUAUAUGUGCAUGUACAUACAUGUGCGUACGUGUGCGUGCGCGCGCGCGCGCGCGCGUGUGUGUGUGUGUGUGUAUUUCGUUUACUCGGUCUUGUGUAUCACAAGUUAGUUGACCAUCAAUAUUAUCAGUCAAUUCAUUAAAUAAUCCGCAAUGAAAUAUAAUAUCGGGUGACAAGAUACGAAACACAGUAAUAUAUGUAUGUAUUAGACCCGUAUUUAGAACGCGCUUUUAUUGUAAAAAUAUAUAUAUUUUUUUCUAAAAUUCUAGUAUAAAUAUCAUAAACUAUAUGUUAAAUACGUACAUUUAUUGAUAAAAGCGCGUUUUGAAUACAAAGGUACUACAAAACACACACACGCAUACGCACGCACGCACACACACACACACACACACACUGUUUAUGAACUUGUGCAGAUUUAUGUUUAGUAAACCACUCUUUUAUUUUAUAAUUGUUAUUUAUACCAAAAAAAUUUUCCGACAAGCUGUUCAAAACUUAUGAUAAUUAAUCAUGUGUGAAAUUCUUCAUAAAAAAUGAGAAUAAAUAAAGAGAUGGCUAGCAUGAUAAAUUGUUACAACUUUUGGCUUAACGAAAAAUUAUAAAAUUUGAAACAAUAAAUAACAAUUGAAAAAUGAAAGAAUACCAAAGAUAAUUUGGUGCAUAUAUGUAUGUAUAAUUUUUAAUCUUUCGAUUUUUGAGGCCUGAAAACACUUUUGACAAUAUUUACAAUUAUUAUCAAUGGUUUAUUAUUAAAUAAAAAUUUUUUUUUAAUAUUUCAAAUUUCACAAGAAUUGAUCAAGUGAAAAAUUAGCUUCGAAAAAUAGAAGCUUUCUAAAAUUACUCAUGGAUUCAAUAUACACUGCCAGUAUUAAAGAUCCGUAGUUUAUGUUAUAUUAUAGAUAUAUUAUAAAUUUUUAAUAAUGAUAAUAAAUUUUAGAACGUAGCCGUAGUUGACUUUAC